AAUUACCCAAUCCUGACACGGGGAGGUAGUGACAAUAAAUAUCAAUGCUUUUCGUUUUCACGAUUAGUAAUUGGAAUGAGAACAAUCUAAACCCCUUAUCGAGUAACAAUUAGAGGGCAAGUCUGGUGCCAGCAGCCGCGGUAAUUCCAGCUCUAAUAGCGUAUAUUAAAGUUGUUGCUGUUAAAAAGCUCGUAGUUGGAUCUUGGGUCGUAAAGGUCGGUCCGCCUACUCGGUGUGCACCUGCCCUUCCGUCCCUUUUGUCGGCGGCGUGCUCCUGGCCUUAAUUGGCUGGGUCGCGGCUCCGGCGCUGUUACUUUGAAAAAAUUAGAGUGCUCAAAGCAAGCUUAUGCUCUGAAUACAUUAGCAUGGAAUAACGUGAUAGGAGUCUGGUCCUAUUGUGUUGGCCUUCGGGACCGGAGUAAUGAUUAAUAGGGACUGUCGGGGGCAUUCGUAUUUCAUUGUCAGAGGUGAAAUUCUUGGAUUUAUGA
rnacentral:rRNA from 1 species